rnacentral:rRNA from 1 species
UGGGGAAUAUUGGACAAUGGGGGGAACCCUGAUCCAGCCAUGCCGCGUGUGUGAAGAAGGCCUUAUGGUUGUAAAGCACUUUAAGCGAGGAGGAGGGUACUGGUAUUAAUACUACCAGGUACUGGACGUUACUCGCAGAAUAAGCACCGGCUAACUCUGUGCCAGCAGCCGCGGUAAUACAGAGGGUGCGAGCGUUAAUCGGAUUUACUGGGCGUAAAGCGUGCGUAGGCGGCUAAUUGAGUCGGAUGUGAAAUCCCCGAGCUUAACUUGGGAAUUGCAUUCGAUACUGGUUAGCUAGAGUGUGGGAGAGGAUGGUAGAAUUCCAGGCGUAGCGGUGAAAUGCGUAGAGAUCUGGAGGAAUACCGAUGGCGAAGGCAGCCAUCUGGCCUAACACUGACGCUGAGGUACGAAAGCAUGGGGAGCAAACAGGA